rnacentral:rRNA from 1 species
AUUGAACGCUGGCGGCAGGCCUAACACAUGCAAGUCGAGCGGAUGACGGGAGCUUGCUCCUUGAUUCAGCGGCGGACGGGUGAGUAAUGCCUAGGAAUCUGCCUGGUAGUGGGGGACAACGUUUCGAAAGGAACGCUAAUACCGCAUACGUCCUACGGGAGAAAGCAGGGGACCGUCGGGCCUUGCGCUAUCAGAUGAGCCUAGGUCGGAUUAGCUAGUAGGUGAGGUAAUGGCUCACCUAGGCGACGAUCCGUAACUGGUCUGAGAGGAUGAUCAGUCACACUGGAACUGAGACACGGUCCAGACUCCUACGGGAGGCAGCAGUGGGGAAUAUUGGACAAUGGGCGAAAGCCUGAUCCAGCCAUGCCGCGUGUGUGAAGAAGGUCUUCGGAUUGUAAAGCACUUUAAGUUGGGAGGAAGGGCAGUAAGUUAAUACCUUGCUGUUUUGACGUUACCGACAGAAUAAGCACCGGCUAACUCUGUGCCAGCAGCCGCAGUAACAC